rnacentral:rRNA from 1 species
GCAUAUCAAUAAGCGGAGGAAAAGAAACUAACAAGGAUUCCCCUAGUAACUGCGAGUGAAGCGGGAAAAGCUCAAAUUUAAAAUCUGGUAGUCUUUGACUGCUCGAGUUGUAAUCUAGAGAAGCGUUAUCCGUUUUGGACCAUGUAUAAGUCUCCUGGAAUGGAGCGUCAUAGAGGGUGAGAAUCCCGUCUUGGACAUGGACUACCAGAGCUUUGUGAUGCGCUCUCAAAGAGUCGAGUUGUUUGGGAAUGCAGCUCUAAAUGGGUGGUAAAUUCCAUCUAAAGCUAAAUAUUGGCAAGAGACCGAUAGCGAACAAGUACCGUGAGGGAAAGAUGAAAAGAACUUUGGAAAGAGAGUUAAACAGUACGUGAAAUUGUUGAAAGGGAAACACUUGAAGUCAGUCACAUUGGCUAGGGAUCAGCUUUGCUUUUUGCUUAGUGUACUUCCUAGUUUAAUGGGUCAGCAUCAAUUUUGACCAGUGGAAAAAGAUUAAGGGAAUGUGGCAUCUUCGGAUGUGUUAUAGCCUUUGGUCAUAUACAUUGGUUGGGAUUGAGGAACUCAGCAUGCCGCAAGGCCAGGUUUUUACCAUGUUCAUGCUUAGGAUGCUGGCAUAAUGGCUUUAAUUGACCCGUCUUGAAACACGGACCA